rnacentral:rRNA from 1 species
UGGCGGACGGGUGAGUAAUGUCUGGGAAACUGCCUGAUGGAGGGGGAUAACUACUGGAAACGGUAGCUAAUACCGCAUAACGUCGCAAGACCAAAGAGGGGGACCUUCGGGCCUCUUGCCAUCGGAUGUGCCCAGAUGGGAUUAGCUAGUAGGUGGGGUAACGGCUCACCUAGGCGACGAUCCCUAGCUGGUCUGAGAGGAUGACCAGCACACUGGAACUGAGACACGGUCCAG